UUAAAUUGAAGAGUUUGAUCAUGGCUCAGAUUGAACGCUGGCGGCAGGCCUAACACAUGCAAGUCGAACGGUAACAGGAAGCAGCUUGCUGCUUUGCUGACGAGUGGCGGACGGGUGAGUAAUGUCUGGGAAACUGCCUGAUGGAGGGGGAUAACUACUGGAAACGGUAGCUAAUACCGCAUAACGUCGCAAGACCAAAGAGGGGGACCUUCGGGCCUCUUGCCAUCGGAUGUGCCCAGAUGGGAUUAGCUUGUUGGUGGGGUAACGGCUCACCAAGGCGACGAUCCCUAGCUGGUCUGAGAGGAUGACCAGCCACACUGGAACUGAGACACGGUCCAGACUCCUACGGGAGGCAGCAGUGGGGAAUAUUGCACAAUGGGCGCAAGCCUGAUGCAGCCAUGCCGCGUGUAUGAAGAAGGCC
rnacentral:rRNA from 1 species